rnacentral:lncRNA from 1 species
AUAUUGUACAUAUAGUACAUAUAUGGAUCUUCGAUAUGUUUUCUAUAUCAUACCUGAAUCAUUGAAAUUUACCAUAAAACAAUACAGAAAUAUACAUAACAAUGAUCUGGAUGAUAACUUUCUUCAUAAAGAUUUUAUGGAUUUGAAAAAAGGUUCAAGAUUAUUUUAUGAUAAACUCUUAUCUGACAAUAUUAAACCUCAUAUUUGCCUAAAAUGGGAAAACUUAUUUUACGAUAUUGAUUUCGAUUGGCGUAUGAUUUUUAAUAUUUGCAGAAGGAAUGUGAAAGAUGUAAAACUUUUAGACUUUCAAUU